GAUGAAGAACGUAGCGAAAUGCGAUAAGUAAUGCGAAUUGCAGAAUUUCCGUGAGUCAUCGAAUCUUUGAACGCACAUUGCGCCCACUGGUAUUCCGGUGGGCAUGCCUGUUCGAGCGUCAUUUCACCACUCAAGCCUCGCUUGGUAUUGGGCAACGCGGUCCGCCGCGUGCCUCAAAUCGACCGGCUGGGUCUUCUGUCCCCUAAGCGUUGUGGAAACUAUUCGCUAAAGGGUGCUCGGGAGGCUACGCCGUAAAACAAACCCAUUUCUAAGGUUGACCUCGGAUCAGGUAGGGAUACCCGCUGAACUUAAGCAUAUCAAUAAGCGGAGGA
rnacentral:misc_RNA from 1 species